CAGCAGCCACGGGAAUACGUAGGUGGCAAGCGUUGUCCGGAAUUAUUGGGCGUAAAGGGCUCGCGGGCGGUUUCUUAAGUCUGAUGUGAAAGCCCCCGGCUCAACCGGGGAGGGUCAUUGGAAACUGGGAAACUUGAGUGCAGAAGAGGAGAGUGGAAUUCCACGUGUAGCGGUGAAAUGCGUAGGGAUGUGGAGGAACACCAGUGGCGAAGGCGACUCUCUGGUCUGUAACUGACGCUGAGGAGCGAAAGCGUGGGGAGCGAACAGGAUUAGAUACCCCGGUAGUCCCUGUCUCUUAUAC
rnacentral:rRNA from 1 species